UACGUAGGGGGCAAGCGUUGUCCGGAUUCAUUGGGCGUAAAGAGCGUGUAGGCGGCCAGGUAGGUCGGUUGUGAAAACUGGAGGCUCAACCUUCAGAGGUCGACCGAAACCAUCUGGCUAGAGUCCGGGAGAGGAGAGUGGAAUUCCUGGUGUAGCGGUGAAAUGCGCAGAUAUCAGGAAGAACACCCGUGGCGAAAGCGGCUCUCUGGAACGGUACUGACGCUGAGGCGCGAGAGCGUGGGGAGCGAACCGG
rnacentral:rRNA from 1 species